UGCCAGACUCCUACGGGAGGCAGCAGUAGGGAAUCUUUCACAAUGGGCGAAAGCCUGAUGGAGCAACGCCGCGUGCAGGAUGAAGGCCUUCGGGUUGUAAACUGCUUUUAUAAGCGAGAAAUAUGAUGGUAACUUAUGAAUAAGGAUCGGCUAACUACGUGCCAGCAGCCGCGGUAAUACGUAGGGGGCAAGCGUUAUCCGGAUUUACUGGGUGUAAAGGGAGCGUAGACGGCAGCGCAAGUCUGAAGUGAAAUGCCGGGGCUUAACCCCGGAACUGCUUUGGAAACUGUGCAGCUAGAGUGCAGGAGAGGUAAGUGGAAUUCCUAGUGUAGCGGUGAAAUGCGUAGAUAUUAGGAGGAACACCAGUGGCGAAGGCGGCUUACUGGACUGUAACUGACGUUGAGGCUCGAAAGCGUGGGGAGCAAACAGGAUUAGAUACCCCUGUA
rnacentral:rRNA from 1 species